UUCAAAUAUUUACAUGUGAUCGAUUUAACUGGAUCGGAGGAGGUAUUUUAUUUGUCGUACAUUCCGCUAUUCCAUCUGAAGAUGUUCUCGUUCCGCGAACUGACUCAUUUGAAUUUAAAUGUAUUGGAGAUAAGAAUUAUAUAAAUUGAAAAACAGAAAAACUCGAUCCUUUAAACAUUAAAAAAAAAACCGGUUCACUUGUCGACUAUUCUAAAUAUUCUGUAUUGCGUCGAAAGUAUUUUGACGAAAAUAAUUCCAUUGCAGACAGCAGUGAUACACUGAUUGUUGUAAUGCAACUCAAUGUGGAAGAUGAACUACAGUUUUUACGAAAUUAUCCGAAAAACGAAAGACAAUGUCGUUAAUGUGGAAUAUAAAUUGAAGGCAGAGGAAUUUGCCGGGUUCUUACUGUUUCCUUAUAGAAACAGCGGGUUUAAAGUUCAGAAUUUUUGGAAGUUACAACGACUAUUUAUUUUAUAUUCUUAUCCUUCUUUGAAUAUUAGAUAAUUAAUAAUCAAAAAGGCGCAGUCGAAGAAGUGAUGUUGAUCCUCGUACGCUCGAUAUGUAUGUUGGGAAGACUUGAGAAUGCCAAGACCUGCAAUCUAGAUACUUCAAAGAGUUUGCGUGGAGUGGAGGAACAACUGACGGCCCGGAACCUCUCUUUUCUGUAGGACCACACACAUUACGGUAGGUGCCACGGGGGAACAAAGGGCAUGUAGAAAUCACUAAUGGCAGCUGCUUUUGGGAGGGUUCCACAAACCAUAUACUAGUGUGGAUGUACACCACGUCAGUUAGACCAAAGUCACAUACAGGAACAACUGCAUGGAACAGAAUUUUUCCGCGAGAAAGUGUAAAUAAUUCGUUUUAUGGUGCAAGGUGGUGGAUAAUAUGAGCUUGGUCAAUUCUGACGGUCCACUAUCCAAAGAGCUAAUGCCAAGGAAAUUUUUGAAUUUACUUGCAACUUAUAAACGCAUCAAGAAGCGAAACGGGCAUACUGGGAAAGAGGUAAUACGCUAAGAGUUCUAUGAAGAGUCCGAAGUGGGGUAUGAUAGGCUUCAUUCCAUACAACCGCCAGCCAAAAAUUCUCAAAGCCGAUAGCGUUGACGUAUGUGAAGUUAGUGGCGACGAGAAGACUGACGACUCAUAUGAAAUUAAUUUCUUAAAUGAGCUAAAAAAAGCGUCCAAAAACUGCCACCAAUGAACCAUUUGAUUUCUUAAAAAAUGAAGCUCUAAAAGAAGUAUACGAAGUUCAAUUUUGGAUAACAUGGCAACCUUAAAAUCAUCAUUUCUUUCAUUUUUGGCUUGGUUGCCCGUACGUACCACGUGGUCUCAAAUGCGUGGGGUUAAAAUCAUCCUUUCAUUCUUGGUUUGGCGUAAUUAGAGUAUACAUAUUUUUAAAAUAAUAUAAAAAAUUUUAUAUAUAACUAUUUAAUACACUUUCAGUAGGUGUGGUUAGAACCAUCCAAACCAAAGUGCCUAUCUUAGUGUGAAACGUGUUGUAGCAACUAAUGACUCAAUUUUGAAAGUACUACGUCAAAGGCUCUAUCACCUCUCACUGCGGAUGAGGUAUUGGUUUUAACAAACAAAUGCAAACUUCAAAGCAGCAAUAUUAUAAUUUCCUUCAUAUAUAAUUCGACUUACUUUUGGUCUAUAUAAUAUACAAAAAUAUAUUGAAGAUUGAAGAUUUUAGAUUUUUUUUGAUAAAAAUCGUAUUUAAAUUUGAGACUAAUUGGUUUAGCCGUUUUCGAGUUUUGUUGUUCACCGACUUUGAAAACACCAUUCUGAGAAAAACACGUUUAAAGUUUGGAACGCACUUCACAUGGGAUAAAAAACUCUGAAAGGCCUUUUCAAAUUUACGUGUAACUUCGAAAAUAUUCACUGGAACCAUAUGAUAUUUUCUGUGUGUAUUCUUAUAUAUUGUGUAUGUACUUUAAGAAAAUAAAAUUUUAAAACAUCAAUGUUUUAAAAUUUUAACUGUAUGUAAUCCUUUAAAAAUACGUCUUUUUCAAUCCGAAAACCGCACCGUCACAAAAAUGGCCACUAUUUUGAACGCACUAUUCCAAAGAAUGGUCUCGUUCCUCAUCAAUCGCUGAUGUUGCAAGAGAAGCGGUAGAAGAUAAAAUUGCUGGUAUGAAUAAAAGUCAACCAGUACCUCAGUGUACAGAACAACCUUUAACGUCGUCCAACACGCAUUGUCACCCACUUAUUCAACCUAUUUUGAGUUUCCUCAAUGAAAUAUUUGAGGAGAAGAAUAAAUCAAACAGUGUGAUUGCAAUAACUCCAGUUUGUCCCUAUUACGAGCGGCCAAAUGGAUUGGAAGGUAAUUACUUUUCAAGAUCUUUUCAAAAACUAUUUGUAUCUCCAUUACAGAGCAACGAAAAUUAUUCGAGCAUCUAAGCAUAUAUGCCAGUCGAUACCUUUGUGUUCCACCUACUUCUACAGAAUCGGAAAGCAUGUUUCGCCAGGCUGGAUUGCUGAUAUCAGAUUGAAGAGCAGCACUAAAAGUUAAAAACGCCAAUAAAUACUAUUUUUUAACAAAGGAAACAUUUUAAUACUCUCGCAACAUAUUGCUACAGAGUAUAAUAGUUUUUACAGCUAACGGUUAUUUUUAUCACCUAAAACUAAUCGAGUUAAAUAUAAGGUUAUAUAUAAAUUAUAUAAAUAAUCAGGAUGAAAAGACGAGUUAAAAGCCGGGCGAUAAAUCAAGCACUAAACACUCCAGAAACAUUGAAUUUUAUUUUCGGGAUGGUAUGAGAUGAUAUUAUAGGAACCGACUUCAAGGUUAGACAAUGAGCGUGGCACCGCCCACUUUUAGGUGAAAACCUAUAUCUUGGGAUCUGCUUAACCGAUUUCAACCAAAUUUGGUAUAUAACAUUCUUCUUCUAUAUUAAAGUGCGAAACUGGGCAAAAUCGGAUUACAACCACUCCUAUUUCC